ensembl:lncRNA
CCCCUCACCUGCUUGCACCAGCACGUAGCUUCCACGGAGAACAGCCCCCACGCUUCCCAUCCCCGCUCAGCCCUGCCCAACCACAGGGAGAUCAUAAGGGUAUUUUCUGGAAAUGUAGUUGAAACCACAACCACAAUCCCCUCUAGCCAGAGACCCACGCUCAUACGCUCAUGUAGCUUCUCUUUCCAGAACUCUCUGUACUUGGGAGUCAUACUGGUCCUGACCACACAGCAGCCACAUAAGGACACCUGCGGGAACUUUCCCUCUUCCAUACUGGAGUGCUUCUUCCCUAGUAAUUCAGUACAGGUCCCUGGAGCCUUGGACACUCACCAAAGACCCCUGCAUCUCCAAGGCCUUGGAAUGGAGAAUCAAGCCCUGGCACCGACAGACACCCCCUUCCCCACCCUGAAUCACUGACUGUGACAAACUUCCAUUCUGCGGUCUCUGCCUUCCUAUUGAGUGUCGAAGGUCCAAAGUCUUUGUGUAUUCCUCUCUGCCACACGGACUGUGUGGAAGAUGAAGAGGACGUCCCCAGGCAGGAAAGGGAGGAAUGACAUUCCAGGUAGAUGCGUUGGAGUUGAGAGGCCAGUACACUGGGCGAACUUCACGGCUGAAGCCUGGAGCGAAGAGGACACGGGUGCUUGAGGUCCAUUGUAGCAGCAAAUGAAGACCAGGCUUCAUUUUGACUUUAUACCCACACUGGCUCCUGGCUCUGGGGAGCCGAU